rnacentral:rRNA from 1 species
AGUGAACGCUGGCGGUAGGCCUAACACAUGCAAGUCGAACGGCAGCACAGUAAGCGCUUGCUCUUACGGGUGGCGAGUGGCGGACGGGUGAGGCAUACAUCGGAAUCUACUUUUUCGUGGGGGAUAACGUAGGGACACUUACGCUAAUACAGCAUACGACCUACGGGUGAAAGCAGGAGAUCUUCGGACCUUGCGCGAUUGAAUGAGCCGAUGUCGGAUUAGCUAGUUGGCGGGGUAAAGGCCCACCAAGGCGACGAUCCGUAGCUGGUCUGAGAGGAUGAUCAGCCACACUGGAACUGAGACACGGUCCAGACUCCUACGGGAGGCAGCAGUGGGGAAUAUUGGACAAUGGGCGCAAGCCUGAUCCAGCCAUACCGCGUGGGUGAAGAAGGCCUUCGGGUUGUAAAGCCCUGUUGUUGGGAAAGAAAAGCAGCAGGUUAAUACCCCGCUGUUCUGACGGUACCCAAAGAAUAAGCACCGGCUAACUUCGUG